CUCAUACUCACAGCCUCAAUCUCUCUCUCAAUACCCCCGCUCACUCUCUCUCGAAAUACCCUCUCUCGCUAAUCUAGGGCUAAUCUCUCUCAUUAAUGUCUCUCUGCCCACUAUUUUCUCGGUUACGCCACCACUUUCCAUCAUUAUGGAUUUAUAUUUCUAAUUGGGGACAAUUGAACAGAGGGUCGAGGCUUCAAUUCUUCAAUUAGGGCGUGGCUGCUUCAAUCAUGCUUAGAUUAUUCAUUAAACUUCAAUUAAAAUUCAAGUACUUACAUAUAAUCCCUUAAACUUCAUCUAAUCUCCCUAUCUCUCUUUGAUUUCAGGUGUUCUUCAUCUAGGUUAGCACUUAGAGACUUGUUUUAAGUCUCAGGGAAACUUCAGUUUCUGUUACUAUAAAGCCAAGGUCGUGGUUUUGUAUAUAAGGGAACUGCCUUGCCCAAGUUGCAGGGGAAGAGGUUACACUCUUAUGUACAGAAUGCGGAAUAGAAAGAUCUAAAAAAGAUUGUGCCCAGUGUGAUGGCAAGGGAAUGAAUACUUGCGAACAGUGCAAGGGAGAUCGUGUAAUAUGGGAAGAUUCAAUCAAUGAACGACCAUGGGAAAAGGCACGAUCAAUGUAUAAAGAUGAGUUAGAAGCAGGGUAUAAAUCCGUAUGUUUGUUGGAAGGAAUUGUUGGUUGAAAGGUGAAUAUUAGUUGGUAAAUAUAAUUAGUUGGUGGAUAUAUGUUGGUGGAUAUUGGUAAUUGAUAUUUGGUUUGUACUUGGUUGGUUGUUAUGAUGGUAAUGAAAACUUUUGUUUACCAAUUUUUG